CAGCCGCCGCGGGAAUACGAAGGGGGCUAGCGUUGUUCGGAUUAACUGGGCGUAAAGGGCGCGUAGGCGGGUUUUUAAGUCAGGGGUGAAAUCCCAAGGCUCAACCUUGGAACUGCCUUUGAUACUGGAUCGCUUGAACACGGGAGAGGUGAGUGGAAUUCCGAGUGUAGAGGUGAAAUUCGCAGAUAUUCGGAAGAACACCAGUGGCGAAGGCGGCUCACUGGACCGUUGUUGACGCUGAGGUGCGAAAGCGUGGGGAGCAAACAGGAUUAGAUACCCCCGUAGUCCCUGUCUCUUAUAC
rnacentral:rRNA from 1 species